GAUUUAUGACUUCCUGUCUCGGCCAGCAGAUGUCAUUAUGGCUGACAGAACAGAAGGCCUUUCAGGAGCUGGCUGGGGUGGAGCUGAGGGGAGGGGGAAAAAAUAAAAUAAAAUAAAAGGCAGAAGCCCAAAGUCGUGUUUGCUCAGGGGCGCUGUUGUUGAUCCUGUCAUUGCAGGGACGCGGGGAAGGUUUCCAUCAAACCAAACGUCUUGUGGUAGCUCUGAGGUCCGGCUUGGAAGACUGAGGUAGAAACUCUCACAGGAAGCACCCAUUCAGCUUCCCUCAGAAGAGGGAACCUGCAGGGUUUCCGUCCCGGCCUGUUUGUAGGUUGUACCCCCCGAUGGAGCGAACGCCGCGCUACAUCAAUGUGCGUUUUACCCUGGAAUAUCAUUUUGGUGUGUGUUUCAAUACCUUUCUUUUACAAAUUCAGCAGCCUCUUCUGGAGUUCUUUGGAUACAGAGAUCAUUUUAUCCAUUUUAAGAGAGUUUUAUCGGAUGUCAUUGGUAUUUUAGAUUUUUUUUUUUCUGUAUCAAAAAAUGGUAGAAACUUGGCAUUAUCAUUGGCCCCCUAGCCCGUAUUAAUACUUACAACUGAGAACACAUACUUAUCGGUAAUUACAGGCCACACUUCCACAUUUCUUCCUACUAAUCGUCCCCUGAAGCUUUGCCUUCUGUAGGCAAAGGAAGCUUUAUUUUUUUUUUUUUCUUUUUUCCCCUAGCUGAUUCUCCUAUUUAAUGGACACGGGAAUAUAUACUUUGGGUUCAGGGAAUCAGUGCCCCAACUGGUGACAGAUGUUGGGCUGUCUUUAGUCCUAUCCACAGCAAAUUGUCCCCCAUCGUGGCUGCAUGACCAUAUCUGCAUGACUAGGGAACCACCGAUACAGGCUCCCAUCUAGAGUAAGAAGAGCAGGGACUUUGGCUCACACUGUCGGGUCUGGGCACCCAGGACAGAGACCUCCAGAAGCAGCUGAUGAAAGAUGUGAAUGGAGACAGAGGAUGUAGGCCUAGAUGUAGGCUUGGAAGAAAUGUGCACUCAUGGAGGACUUCAUGGAGGAGAAGCACAGGGUCUUCUUUGCCCCGGCCUCCUAAGAAACUGAAAGCCCACGUCAAGAAAAAUUUGAUUGAGGGUCUUCUUCUAUAAUUAAUUAAUGGCUAUCAUCUUGUUUUGUAUCUUACAGGGAACAUCAGCUUUUCGAGAUAGCACCAUCAAUUUGAGAAGAGCCACUGCCAUAGCUCCUUCUGCAAAGGACAUUGGUGUGGCAGCUGGUGAUGGGCUUAACUAAUCCUGGCUCUAAAUUCUUUUUCUGGCUCUUCCACUCAUUCUCUGGGUUAUUCUGGGCAAGUCACCUCAGUUCUUUCCUUACCUGUAAAGGGUGGACGAUACCAGCACCAUCUCUUAGCAAAUUUUUAAAUGAGGAUUGAAUGGCGUGUUUGUGAAGUUAUUAGCCACGUGCCUGGGCCAGGGUAGGAACUCAAUAAAUUAGCUACUGUUAUAAUGAUUAAUGUUAAAAUAUCUUCACUCUUUACUCUUUCACAGGUAGACACGCAGAGACAUAGACUGAUUCAUUGGCCACCCAGAAAAGAAAUCCAAUAAUUAUAAAAAACAUUAAUUGCAGCUGUCAUAUAUUGAAUGCAUGCUGAGUGCCAGACACUGUGCUAAAGGCUUUCCAUGCAAAAUCCGAAUUUAAUCCUUAUGAAAACAUUUGAGGCCAAGUAGGACCCCUGCUGUUUUAUGUAUCAGGAAGCUCUGAUUGGAUUGUUUAAGACAAUGGUUCUCAAACUGUGAUCAUACCGCUUGGAGUUUGUCUCCCAUGAUCAGUCAUGCUGGUUUUGUAGAUUUACCCUUGCCCCAGCUUACCAGGCAGACCCUGACGGGCCAAACCCAAUAAUCCAAUCCCAUCCCUUGCCAUCUAUCCUACUGGCCACCAUGAUUUGGUCCAUGAUGACAAAAACCCAGUCCGAACAAUGAAACCUGUGGAGAAGUUUUCCAGGGCCUCUGGGAAAAAAGUACGGGUCUCUUCUCCUUGAGAGUCACUCCUUCUAUCGUCUGCAUUGUGUGAAGAGAUAAAGAUAUGAACAGCUUCUUUACUACUAAAGUGGACCUUGGAACUGCCAAUGGGAACAUAACCGAGGCUUGAAAAAGUAGGUGAUGCUGCAGAAGGCAGAAAGGAAAUGUGGAGAGGAACAAAGCUGGUCCUUGAGGACACUGGAUCAAACUGUACCUGAAGCUAGUCCUGUCCCUGGCCUUUUCAGUGAUGCAAGUUUACACAGGACAUCAUUCUUCCAAUCAGUUUGAGUUGAAUUUCCUGUCAUUUUCAGUGGAAAAUGUUUUAACACAAAUUUUGGUUUUGUCAAAUUGAUGAUGACAUGUUAAUACCCUUUCAAUGAGUUAUACUGGGAGAAUGGGGUCAUAUUGUGGGUUUCUGCUUCACUAUUUUGUUUAGUGUGUUGUUCUCAAAUGACUACCUCACCUUCUUAAAUCAUUUUCCUACUAGUCUCCUUGUCCACACUUCACAGGACACAUCAAGUACCACCUUCCCUAUGAAUUAAUUACUGAGCAGGAAUUAUGAACACUGGUCUUUUAGCUCUGUUGAGACUGUCCCAAGUAGUGGUUAAGAACAUACGUGUUACACUAUACAGACACAAUUUUGAACUCUGGCUCUAUAAUUCACUAGCUAUGUGACUUUGGACAAUUUACUUAAACUCCUUAGGACACUUUGCCCAACCUAUAAAAAUACUGUUAAUAAUAGCAUCUUGUCUGAGACAAUUUUUGUGAAGAUGAAAUGAGAUAAUUCAUGCACAACAUUUAUCUUGGUGCUUGACACAGAAUAAAUGCUCCAUAAAUGUU